UACGUAGGGGGCAAGCGUUGUCCGGAGUUACUGGGCGUAAAGCGCACGCAGGCGGUCCGUUAAGUUUGGAGUGACAGUUGGUGGCUCAACCACCAAAGUGCUUUGAAAACUGACAGACUUGAGGGCUUCAGAGGGACACGGAAUUCCGGGUGGAGUGGUGAAAUGCGUAGAUAUCUGGAAGAACACCAAAGGCGAAGGCAGUGUCCUGGGUGGUCGCUGACGCUGAGAGGCGAAAGCCAGGGGAGCGAACGGG
rnacentral:rRNA from 1 species